CGCCUGAUGGUCUAGGGGUAUGAUUCUCGCUUUGGGUGCGAGAGGUCCCGGGUUCAAAUCCCGGUCAGGCCC
rnacentral:tRNA from 1 species